rnacentral:rRNA from 1 species
ACACGGUAAGGAUUGACGGACUGAAGGCUCUUUCUCGAUUCCGUGGAAAGUGGUGCAUGGCCGUUUUUGGUUGGUGGAUCGAUCCGUCUGGUUAAUUCCGUUAACGAACGAGACCUCGGCACUCCGAAUAGCGCGGCGGACGUCGCGGCCUCCGGGCCGUCUUCCGCACGAGCUUCUUAGAGGGACCGUCCCCCCGCCGGGGAAGGAGGUGCGAGGCAACGACAGGUCUGUGAUGCCCUUAGAUGUUCUGGGCCGCACGCGCAUUACACUGACGCGUCCAACGGGUGACUCCCGACCCGAAGGGGCCGGGGAAUCCGCAAGGCGCGUCGUGAUGGGGAUUGAACGUUGCAAUUGUUGUUCACGAACGAGGAAUUCCUAGUAGGCGCGGGUCAUCAACCCGCGCCGAUUACGUCCCUGCCCUUUGUACACACCGC